rnacentral:rRNA from 1 species
CAGGAUUAGAUACCCUGGUAGUCCACGCGGUAAACGAUGAAUACUAGAUGUCGGGUAGCAAAGCUAUUCGGUGUCGUCGCAAACGCAAUAAGUAUUCCACCUGGGGAGUACGUUCGCAAGAAUGAAACUCAAAGGAAUUGACGGGGACCCGCACAAGCGGUGGAGCAUGUGGUNUAAUUCGAAGCAACGCGAAGAACCUUACCUGCUCUUGACAUCCCAUUCGAUAGAGGGUAAUGCCUCUAGCCCUUCGGGGGAAUGGAGACAGGUGGUGCAUGGUUGUCGUCAGCUCGUGUCGUGAGAUGUUGGGUUAAGUCCCGCAACGAGCGCAACCCUUAUUGUCAGUAGCCAGCAGGUCGCGCUGGGCACUCUGAUGAGACUGCCGGGGAUAACCCGGAGGAAGGUGGGGAUGACGUCAAAUCAUCAUGCCCCUUAUGAGCAGGGCUACACACGUGCUACAAUGGCGUAAACAGAGGGAAGCGAAGGAGUGAUCUGGAGCAAAUCUCAAAAAUAACGUCUCAGUUCGGAUUGUAGUCUGCAACUCGACUACAUGAAGCUGGAAUCGCUAGUAAUCGCAGAUCAGAAUGCUGCGGUGAAUACGUUCCCGGGUCUUGUACACACCACCCGUCACACCAUGGGAGUCGGUAAUGCCCGAAGUCA